rnacentral:rRNA from 1 species
CCCUGCAAUUAUCCCUCUCUGUUCUGUGGUUUCAGUAAACCUCACAAGCCAAGCAGGCUUGGGCCUGGAUAAUAUCCAAGUGAGGCACCCCAUACAAUGAAAAUCAUGGCCUUGCAAGAA